rnacentral:lncRNA from 1 species
UUAUAUAUAUAGUCUUAUUACUGUAUUAUUAAUAAUAACAAGUGCUUGGUACUAUUAAAUUUUUUACUGUUAGAUCUACUUGGUUGACCAUUUUAAUCAAUCACUAACUCAAUCUAGAAAAUCAUUAUCAUCCUAACAGGGGAUCACUAUCAUCUUAACCACACAUUCCUUCAUCCACGGGCUGAAAACGUAAUAAUACCAAAUGCUUGAUAUAU